GUGCCUGUAGCCUAAAGGACAAAGCGUUGGACUCCGGAUCCAAAGAUGCGGGUUCGAUUCCCGCCAGGCACA
rfam:Defluviitoga tunisiensis isolate L3 genome assembly, chromosome: I